rnacentral:rRNA from 1 species
GUUCCGGUUGUCACGCCAGUGGCAUUGCCGGGUAGCUAUGUUCGGAAAAGAUAACCGCUGAAAGCAUCUAAGCGGGAAACUUGCCUCAAGAUGAGAUCUCACUGGGAACUUGAUUCCCCUGAAGGGCCGUCGAAGACUACGCGUUGAUAGGCUGGGUGUGUAAGCGUUGUGAGGCGUUGAGCUAACCAGUACUAAUUGCCCGUGAGGCUUGACCAUAUAACACCCAAACA